UUGUGUUGUAGUUUGUUAGGAUGUCGUUCCUGAAAAGUGUGUUAGUGCUGGUUGUGAUUGCUGCCAUUGACCUGAAGAAUGCAUGGGGAAGUGUGAGAUCUACAUAACCUGUGUUCUGAAGGCCACUCUUGCUUCUGUACCCAGUGAUGCUAGGCGGAAGUCAUGCUCCUUUGCCAAUGGGUGAUGUUUGGAAUCCCAGCCGAUGAAAUCUGUUGGUUGAUCGCUUACACAACAUCUCAGGUGACACAGAUACCUGCUCAUCCGCGCCCAAGAGUGGAUAAACAAGUCUUUGGGCUCACAUUAAAACGUUAGACUAAGAACCGUGAGUUUAUCAUUUAUUCACUGUAUUUAUUGAAUUUGUGUGUCUUAAAUGGCCUCUAUUAAUCUGAUUCAUGCAUUUGAGUUGCUGAUGCAGUGAACACUGAAUGAAACUGUGUAAGUUCCUCUAAAAAUAAAUUGCACAAUCCAGAAGACACCUGAUCAAUGCAUGUUAAAACAUGUGAGUUUCAAUAUAAAUGUCCUGAUUAUGCUGUGAAAUGGAGAAGAUUUUUUUUUU